rnacentral:pre_miRNA from 1 species
CUCGGGAAGAGGAAGAAAAGAAGGUCUAGGAUCAAUGGGCAUGGGAACAUGGAGGAAACAAAAGCAUACACUUCUCUUCCCCUCUAAACUUAGAGGCUGUGAUUUGUUUGGAGAUUUUUUCCCAAUGUCUCACAUGCCUACUGUCCUUGGGCACUCCUUUCACUUCCUGUUGGUU